rnacentral:rRNA from 1 species
UACGUAGGGGGCGAGCGUUGUCCGGAUUUAUUGGGCGUAAAGAGCUCGUAGGCGGCUCGGUAAGUCGGGUGUGAAAACUCUAGGCUCAACCUAGAGACGCCACCUGAUACUGCUGUGGCUAGAGUCCGGUAGGGGAGCAUGGAAUUCCUGGUGUAGCGGUGAAAUGCGCAGAUAUCAGGAGGAACACCAGUGGCGAAGGCGGUGCUCUGGGCCGGUACUGACGCUGAGGAGCGAAAGCGUGGGGAGCAAACAGG